rnacentral:rRNA from 1 species
GAUGAACGCUGGCGGCGUGCCUAAUACAUGCAAGUCGAGCGAACAGACGAGGAGCUUGCUCCUCUGACGUUAGCGGCGGACGGGUGAGUAACACGUGGAUAACCUACCUAUAAGACUGGGAUAACUUCGGGAAACCGGAGCUAAUACCGGAUAAUAUAUUGAACCGCAUGGUUCAAUAGUGAAAGACGGUUUUGCUGUCACUUAUAGAUGGAUCCGCGCCGCAUUACCUAGUUGGUAAGGUAACGGCUUACCAAGGCAACGAUGCGUAGCCGACCUGAGAGGGUGAUCGGCCACACUGGAACUGAGACACGGUCCAGACUCCUACGGGAGGCAGCAGUAGGGAAUCUUCCGCAAUGGGCGAAAGCCUGACGGAGCAACGCCGCGUGAGUGAUGAAGGUCUUCGGAUCGUAAAACUCUGUUAUUAGGGAAGAACAAAUGUGUAAGUAACUAUGCACGUCUUGACGGUACCUAAUCAGAAAGCCACGGCUAACUACGUG